AAAAACAAAUGUCUGUGAAUUCAUUCAUAAUUCAUUCCAUUCCUGCGAAUCUCCCUCACCUCUCGCCUCCAUCUCUCACACGUUUGAGUGAGUUUAUUUUCGAUAAAUGGGGAUCCCGACGGAGAUCACAAGCUUCAUCGGAGAGCAGCAGCACAGAAAAAACGGUCGACUCUCAAUCACUUUGACAUAGGAAAAGCCUCUUGGUAGAUGCAAGUUUGGGCAACUAUAUCUCGCAAAGGAAAAGAUGCAGAGCAAUCACAUUGUAGCAUUAAAGGGUGGUAUUUAAGAGCCGGCUGAAACAGUCUCAGGUUGAGCAUCAGCUUCGCCACGACGUUGAAAUACAGAGCGAUCUUCCACAUCCUGACAUAUGACGGCUCUAUGGUUACUUUUACAAUCAGGAGUAUAUCUGAUUCUGGAGGGAGAACUAUGCAAAGAGCUACAGAGGUGCAAAUAAGUUUCGUUAAUAUCAGCAGAUUCGGUAAAUUUUGAUGGAGGGACUUAUUUGUUAGAUGGAAGUAAACCUCAUGGGUGCUAGAUAUAAUUUUCAAAUUAC